rnacentral:rRNA from 1 species
GACGAACGCUGGCGGCGUGCUUAACACAUGCAAGUCGAACGGAAAGGCCCUGCUUUUGUGGGGUGCUCGAGUGGCGAACGGGUGAGUAACACGUGAGUAACCUGCCCUUGACUUUGGGAUAACUUCAGGAAACUGGGGCUAAUACCGGAUAGGAGCUCCUGCUGCAUGGUGGGGGUUGGAAAGUUUCGGCGGUUGGGGAUGGACUCGCGGCUUAUCAGCUUGUUGGUGGGGUAGUGGCUUACCAAGGCUUUGACGGGUAGCCGGCCUGAGAGGGUGACCGGCCACAUUGGGACGGAGAUACGGCCCAGACUCCUACGGGAGGCAGCAGUGGGGAAUAUUGCACAAUGGGCGGAAGCCUGCUGCAGCAACGCCGCGUGCGGGAUGACGGCCUUCGGGUUGUAAACCGCUUUCGCCUGUGACGAAGCGUGAGUGACGGUAAUGGGUAAAGAAGCACCGGCUAACUACG